rnacentral:lncRNA from 1 species
CUUUCUGCAUCGGACCCAUACCCAAUCAAUACUAAUGUUUGGGACAUGAGCAAUCUUGGGCCAAUCUUCACCAUUUUCCCUUUGGCAUCUUCUGGAUAAGUGUGGACAGUAGGAGAUUUCGAGUAUGUGGAGGGUUGCGAGGGAACGCAUCUCUUCCUGUAGUGAUGUCAAUUUAGGGCAGUCACAAAUUCCAAGUUGACACGAGGAAAGGUUGCCCAUCAAUAAGUUGUACGGGGACAUGAGCAAUCUUGGGCCAAUCUUCACCAUUUUCCCUUUGACAUCUUUCGAAUAAGUGUGGACAACCAGAGAGUUGGAGUAUGUGGAGGGUAGUGAGGGAACGCAUCUCUUCUGGCAGUGAUGUCAAUUUUGGGCAGUCACAAAUUCGAAGCUGAGUCAGCGAGGAGAGGUUGCCUAUCCAGUGUGGUAA